rnacentral:tRNA from 1 species
UAUUAAAGGAACUAAGUUUAGUUCUACUUUACCUCGAAAAGGUAACGUGAUAACACCUCUUUAAC